CAAAGUGUGAAUUAAAGCAGGUAGUGGAUGCCUUGGUUUCUUUGGCCGACGAAGGACGCACAUGACCGCGAAAGUCAUCGGGGAGCUGCCAUGAAGCUUCGAUCCGAUGGUGUCCGAAUGGGGCAACCCGUUUCCGUUUUACGGAAUCAUCCUUUAUUUUUAAUAAAGGGGGGGAACGCGCCGAACUGAAAUAUCUAAGUAAGCGCUGGAAUAUAAAUCGUAAGAGAUUCCCUGAGUAAGCGACGAGCGAAAAGGGAACAGGCUAAACCCAGAUUUAUCUGGGGGUUGUAGGAGCCCGACAUUGGAUGUAGUACUCAAUAGCAGAAUAACUUGGAAUAGUUAACCCAAGAACGUGAAAGUCGUGUACGCGAAAUUGAUGUACUCCCAUAGGGAAUUCCUAAGUAGGUUCAGAGACGGCAAACUCUGGGCUGAAUCUAGGGUGACCACACUCUAAGCCUAAAUACCAAAGAAAACCGAUAGUGAACGAGUACCGUGAGGGAAAGGUGAAAAGAAGGGCUUAUGGCCCCGUGAAAUAGUACCUGAAACUAUCUGCUAACAAACAGUGAGAGCCCCGCAAGGGGUGAUCGCGUGCCUAUUGAAGAAUGAACCGGCGAGUUAUUGUAUGCUGUUCGUGUAAGUGGGUGAUCCCCACGAGCGCAGAGUGAAAGCGAGCCUGAAUAGGGCGAUUAAUAACAGCGUAUGGUAGACCCGAAACCGAGUGAGCUAACCAUGAGCAGGAUGAAGGUUGGGUAAAACCAACUGAAGGUCCGAACCGGUGUAUGUUGCAAGAUGCUCGGAUGACUUGUGGUUAGGGGUAAUAUGCCAAUCGAACUCGGAGAUAGCUGGUUCUCCCCGAAAUAUAUUUAGGUAUAGGCUUACAAUUUAAGUGACAGGGGUAGAGCACUGAAUGGAUCGCAGGGUCGCAAGAUCUUGCAUCUAAUCAAACUCCGAAUACUGUCAUGUAUAUUGUGGGACUCAGUACGCGGGAGCUAAGUUCCGCGGGCAAAAGGGAAACAUCCCAGACCAUCGUCUAAGGUCUCUAAGUUUUAUUUAGUGGUAAAGGAAGUGUAGUUCCUCAGACACCUAGGAGGUCGGCUUAGAAGCAGCCAUCCUUGAAAGAAAGCGUAACAGCUCACUAGCCGAGGGACUAUGCGCCGAAAAUGUAACGAGGCUCAAAUAAAACACCGAAGACAUGGAUUUAUGUAGCAAUAUAUAAGUGGUAGGGGAGUGUUCUGGCGACAGUGAAGGUGAAUCGAGAGGUUUGCUGGAGUUUCCAGAAGCACGGAUGCCGGUAUGAGUAGCGUAAAUUGGGUGAGAAUCCCAAUCACCGAAUGUCCAAGGUUUCCGCCCCCAUGUUCGUCAUGGGCGGGUGAGGCGACCCUUAGGUGAGAUCUCGUUAAGAGGUGUAGCCGAUGGAUUACAGGUUGAUAUUCCUGUCCUGUAUGUAGAUCGUUAUUACUUGGGGAGGGACGAGCGUGGAUACCUCAUGCGGUAAUUUGAAGUUACCGUUUAAGCAGCAAGAUAGUGUCUGCAGGCAAAUCCACAGACGUGCUUAAUUGAGUUGUGAAUAGAAGAUUGUGGAGCGAUCCACAAUCAACAUGAGUGACUUCAGGCUCCGAGAAAAGCUUCGCAAGGAGAGUUACAUACAUUCGUACUAAUAACCGACACAGGUGGACUGGUAGAGUAUACCAAGGUGAGCGAGUGACACUAGUUCAAGGAACUCGGCAAUGAAGCUGGGCGUAAUUUCGAAACAUGCCCCACUUUCUGUUAAUGGAAAGUCGCAGCGAAAGUUUCCCGUCCGACUGUUUAACAAAAACACAGGUCUGUGCAAACUCGCAAGAGGAUGUAUACGGGCUGAGGCCUGCCCAGUGCCGGAAGGUUAACUGCGAGGGUGACUACCGCAAGGUAGAGGCCUUCAAUUGAAGCCCCGGUGAACGGCAGCAGUAACUAUAACUGUUCUAUGGUAGCGAAGUACCUUGUCACUUAAUUGGUGACGCGCACGAAAGGUAUAACGAGGCGGGAUCUGUCUUGAACUAGUACUCGGCGAAAUUGAAAUGGCUGUGAAGAUGCGGCCUACUGAUACAUGGACAAAAAGACCCCAUGGAGCUUUACUCUCCCUUGGCACUGAUUUUUUAUGCACAAUUGUUUAGUAUAGGUGGGAGCCUUCGGGCACCAGUGAAAUACCACUCGUUGUAUAUAGAAAAUCUUACUUACGGUUACUGCAAACGUAAUCGGGGACCCUGCCAGGCUGGGAGUUUAACUGGGGAGGUUGCUUGCUAAAAGGUAACGCAAGCGCGCAAAGGUACACUUGGUCCGGAUGGAAAUCGGACUGGACGUGCAACGGCAUAAGUGUGCUUGACUGUGAGGAUUACACUCCGAGCAGAGACGAAAGUCGGUCAUAGUGAUCUUCGUGCACUUUGUGGAAGGUGCCGGACUUAACGGAUAAAAGCUACCCUGGGGAUAACAGAGUAGUCGCGCCUAAGCGUCCCUAGCGACGGCGCGGUUCGCUACCUCGAUGUCGGCUCAUUGCAUCCUGGGGCUGGAGAAAACAUUUACCUUCUCUCCUUUUCAGAAAUGGAAAGGUAAUAAACAAGCUCAAAACGGAGGAGGCCAUACUAUUUGCAGG
rnacentral:rRNA from 1 species